rnacentral:rRNA from 1 species
GAGUUUGAUCUUGGCUCAGGAUGAACGCUGGCGGCGUGCUUAACACAUGCAAGUCGAACGAAGCGCCUUAUUUGAUUUUCUUCGGAACUGAAGAUUUGGUGACUGAGUGGCGGACGGGUGAGUAACGCGUGGGUAACCUGCCCUGUACAGGGGGAUAACAAUCAGAGAUGACUGCUAAUACCGCAUAAGACCACAGCACCGCAUGGUGCAGGGGUAAAAACUCCGGUGGUACAGGAUGGACCCGCGUCUGAUUAGCUGGUUGGUGAGGUAACGGCUCACCAAGGCGACGAUCAGUAGCCGGCUUGAGAGAGUGAACGGCCACAUUGGGACUGAGACACGGCCCAAACUCCUACGGGAGGCAGCAGUGGGGAAUAUUGCACAAUGGGGGAAACCCUGAUGCAGCAACGCCGCGUGAGUGAAGAAGUAUUUCGGUAUGUAAAGCUCUAUCAGCAGGGAGGAAAGUGACGGUACCUGACUAAGAAGCCCCGGCUAACUACGUGCCAGCAGCCGCGGUAA